GGUUCCGUAGUGUAGCGGUUAGCAUGUCUGCUUUACACACAGAAGGUCCUGGGUUCGCCUCCCAGUGGAGCCA
rnacentral:tRNA from 1 species